rnacentral:rRNA from 1 species
UGCGUAGGCGGAAUAUUAAGUCAGUGGUGAAAUCCUGCGGCUCAACCGUAGAACUGCCAUUGAUACUGAUAUUCUUGAAUGUAGUUGAGGUAGGCGGAAUGUGUAAUGUAGCGGUGAAAUGCUUAGAUAUUACACAGAACACCGAUUGCGAAGGCAGCUUACUAAACUAUGAUUGACGCUGAGGCACGAAAGCGUGGGGAGCGAACAGGAUUAGAUAUCCUGGUAGUCC